AUUGAACGCUGGCGGCAGGCCUAACACAUGCAAGUCGAACGAGUGGCGGACGGGUGAGUAAUGUCUGGGAAACUGCCCGAUGGAGGGGGAUAACUACUGGAAACGGUAGCUAAUACCGCAUACCCUCGGAUGUGCCCAGAUGGGAUUGGCUGGUAGGUGGGGUAACGGCUCACCUGGGCGACGAUCCCUAGCUGGUCUGAGAGGAUGACCGGCCAAACUGGAAUGGAGAAACGCUCCAGACUCCUCCGGGAGGAAGCAUGGGGGAACAUUGCACAAGGAGCGAAGGCCUGAUGCAGCCCUGCGGCGGGGAUGAAGAGGGCCUUCGGGUUGUAAAGUACUUUCAGCGAGGAGGCGGUACUCGCAUAAGAAGCAACGGCUAACUCCGUGCCAGCAGCCGCGGUAAUAC
rnacentral:rRNA from 1 species